AUUGAACGCUGGCGGCAGGCCUAACACAUGCAAGUCGAGCGGAUGAAGGGAGCUUGCUCCUGGAUUCAGCGGCGGACGGGUGAGUAAUGCCUAGGAAUCUGCCUGGUAGUGGGGGAUAACGUCCGGAAACGGGCGCUGAUACCGCAUACGUCCUGAGGGAGAAAGUGGGGGAUCUUCGGACCUCACGCUAUCAGAUGAGCCUAGGUCGGAUUAGCUAGUUGGUGGGGUAAAGGCCUACCAAGGCGACGAUCCGUAACUGGUCUGAGAGGAUGAUCAGUCACACUGGAACUGAGACACGGUCCAGACCCCUACGGGAGGCAGCAGUGGGGAAUAUUGGACAAUGGGCGAAAGCCUGAUCCAGCCAUGCCGCGUGUGUGAAGAAGGUCUUCGGAUUGUAAAGCACUUUAAGUUGGGAGGAAGGGCAGUAAGUUAAUACCUUGCUGUUUUGACGUUACCAACAGAAUAAGCACCGGCUAACUUCGUG
rnacentral:rRNA from 1 species